rnacentral:lncRNA from 1 species
AGUACUGAAGUUAGUACAUAAAUCGGAGUUUUUCGAGUCAACUGAAAUAAGUUCAUAAGAUAAAUUGCAGUGGAUAAUCGAUAUCGUCGAAAGGUGAGGAAUAGGGCAAGGCCUAGCCCACUACUCCUCCUGCUCCUCUCCUGCUGGAGCAGCAUCCCACUCGACCGUCCAACGUGGUGGCAGGGUGGUAGGCCAAGUCACACCAUCAACCAUAUCCUGAAGUGUACCUACAAAAAUUGUGCCACAAGCAAGGUUGAUUAUACUAAUACUCAGCUAGACUUAUCUAGUGUGAGGAAUCUACUCCUCGACCUCUAGACCAUGCAGCUGUUUGGCUGAGGGGUUUGGUUUGCCAAAGCACUAGCUAAGUCUAAGAUAAAUUUUAGCUUUCCCAAUUCUAAUAUCAUUACUUUUAGCUAACUUGGCUCCUUCUAAGCAUACAUGGUAACAAUCAUUUAAUACAAUCAACAUGUUAUCUCAUGUAAAUCCUCAUUUUACUUCUUACUCGAUGUAGUACAAGGGGUCAAGCAGUCUCAUUAGCUGCGAGAAGCAAACGAUUCGAAUCGAGUUUUAACCUUGCAAGGUAAAACUAAACACACGACAUGUCACGGCACUCCGUCCCCACACACGUCAAUCGUCCCCAUCGAUCCCCCGUUCGCGGCCAGGACUCACCGCCUUGGCAUACAAUGCUCCACUGACCCUGGCCACCGCCGUGCAGUGACCGCACUUGUACCCACCAUAGCUAGCAUGGGAGACCCAGCCUCAGGACGAGUGAGGGGUAAAGUCCGCGCCCGGCUUCACUCAGGUACUAGGUUUACCGGUUACCAUAUUUCCCGACAUGUGUUUAGUACGUUCAAACGUUUGACUCAGGUAUCCACACAUAAAUCCUUAGUUCCUUUUCCCGUCUCAUGGGCAAGGCAUCCACCCUGGAUCCAAGUCCAUAUACCAUCAUAGAUCCCGUUAUCAGAUGAAUACAAUCAAUUCCUAAUCUCGCGCGAGUGCUAGAAAAAUCACUAGACUUCUACCAAGAUCCUAAUUAGCAAAGCAGCUACUCGACCUAGCAUACUAGUAUCCAUUUCAAAAAGGGAAUCCUGAGUUCAUGCAACUAAGGGUUUCAAGCAACUCCUACACUUAAGUGCACAUUACAAGCCUACAAACAUUAAGUGUAGUAAAGUAGCAUAUAUAAAUUGGUUAUGCAUAAAACCGGGGCUUGCCUUCAAUUGCUGGGGCUACGGGGAGAUCCUCGAUGGCAGGCUCGGUAGCUGGCUCCUGAUCUUCCUCGUGGACAACUCCUUGCUCGGGGAUGAGCACCUACUCUCCGUCAGCGAGGUUGCAAUCUAAUGAAUGCAACGAAUAAGAUAUAUGUAUGGCAUGAUAUGCAAUUUUAGCAAUUAAAAUUGUAUGGUGAAAGAUUAAAUAGAUAAGGUAGAGCUAAAUCUUGCUACUAGAGAUUUCUGUGGUAUACUUAGUAAAUUAGGGUCAAGUUUGAUUACUGCAAGGUCAGAUUAUUUUUAGUGUUCCUUUGAUUUACCAUUUUAUGUUUUAGUGAAAUUUUAACAAGAUUCCUAGCUGCAUUUAUUGGGAUGAGAUUUAUUAAUCUUUCUAAUCUAUCUUUUCCUUUCCUUUUUCUUUUAUGUCCUUAAGGUGGGUUUUGUAACACCCCAGGUGUUACCAUGGUCAUGGCAUCUCUAUGCACUAGUGAUUGUGAUCACAUGUGGAAGAAACUUGAGAAGAAGAGCAUAAAACCUUGGAGACCAUGUAUUAACCAAGAAUGUGAAUGACCAAAAGCAUUACCCAAGCCUUUGUGCAAAUAUCACCUUGGGCAAAAGAGGAUUUAACCCUAGACCCCUCUUAAGCCCCUAACUCCUAAAACCUUGGUUGAAGGGGGGAAAGGUUAAGCAAAUGUGCAAGUCAUGAUUUAACCUUUGGCCAAAGUUUAAGUAACAUAUUAAUCUACAUGUAUAGAAAGGAAACAUUGCCAAAAGACCCCUUAAGGAACCCCAAAUCCAUUCCUUAAGUAGAGAGAGAGCUAGAGCUCUCUAAUUCUCUCUAAGUCAAAUUCUACACAUAAUCUAAAGAUCCACCGUGUUCACUUAGUAGAUGGCACCAAAACCACCUAAGUUGUAUACCAAAAAUGUGGCAUACCACCUAAGGCACCCACUAGAAAAAGCUGAGACCGAGCCCUAGACAUUUGACAUGAGUUGGCAUGGCUUUUGUCGCGAGGUGGGCAGAGGGACAAGCCAGAUUUGGCGUCCGCAUAUCUCCCUACCUAGGGCAUAUCUGCCAUGGGGACUCACACAUAAGAGGUAGCCCUAGGUGCCAGGAAGAGACCUGCGCCGGAUUUUUGCCAAGAUUCGCACGCUAGCGAUCUCGGCGAUCUGUUGAACACGGGCAGAUGAACACUUCCACGUGUUCGACGCACUCUGAGCGCGCCAGAGCACGCCCACGCUCGACCCCGCGUGCCCCGCGCCUAUAAAGCCCCCUCAGGCGUCGACCGUACUCCUCCGCGCACGCUCGACCUCACCGGAGCCCGAAACCACUGGCGUUUGCCCCGCGCACGGCGUGCCCGCGGCCACCCGAGCCCCUGCCACCGUAGACCGGCCAACAGAGCCCUUCCCAGCCACGCCCGACCCUUGGAAGAGACCGUGCAUGCCUCGGUGAAGCUCCCCGAGCAAGGAAUCGGACUUUGCUUCGCCGGAGAAGCCAGUCCACGGUCGCCGGACUUCGCCCGACCGCCGGUGAACGUAGACCGGGUAAAUCUCUGCCCCAUUCUUUGAUUCCUUGUGCACAUAGCCUCUACGUAACCCCGUGGAGCUCAUCGUGCCAUUUGAUUGAACCAGAUCGCCGUGGUUCAGCCGGAACACCCGUCGCCGACGAGAUCACCCGCCUGCGCACGUGGACCGGCCGAUUCCGGCCACCACCGCCGUUGAGCCGUACAUCGCUGUGACUGCCAGGACCUCCAGAAGCCAACCCCGCCCCUCGCCGGACCUCUCUCACCGCCGGUAAGCCGCGCCGCCCUUUUCUUUCCCCCGGGUACUGUUUGCAUUAGGGGAAGGACCUCGGGGAAGAAGAAGGAAAGGUCGGGGGAUUUUUGAACUGUCAGUGACUCAGGGGAAUAGUGGCGCAGGGGUAGAUUUGAGUGGGUUGAUUUGGAUUAAAUCCAAGGUCCUCGGUGUAAACUGGUUUUCCAGGAAACCUUUUAAUAUUUCUAAUUUAAAUGCAAACAGAGCUUGUAAAAUUCAUAACUUCAGUUUUAUUCAACCAAAUCGAGUCAAACCAAUUUUGCCAGGUCCUAUAUAAUGUAAACCACUUAGGAAAAUAUAAAACCUCUAAGUGCUACUGAAAACAUUAAAGUUAUGAUUUAAAUAUUAAUUUGUCCAAAAGCUAAAUAAUAUAAGGAAAAAUAGUUACACUGUUAGGCUGAGGUUAGGAAAAUUUAGAGAAGUACUUAAUCACUUCCUAACCUGUUUAAAAAUAAUAAACCCCUCUGUACACCAAGUUAAGAUAGAGUUUCUCAUUUGAAUUCUUUUUAGCCUAAAGUUAGAGAAAAUAUUAAUGGAGGUUUAAAUAAAGAACCAGAGAGCACCCACAUUUUUGUUAGUUUACUUAUUUAGUAUAGUUCACUAGAAAAUUUUAUUAUACCCCUGUUUAGUACAAAAUAAAUGGGAUACCUUUUAUUUUAGGAAAACAAGGAAAAAUUAGAAAAACCCUAGAAAAAUAACCCCAAGAAGAAAACACCCCAACCCUUGGGAUAACAAUUGUUUUGUUAUUCAGAACAUAGGAAAAAUAUGAAAUCUGUUGUUUGACAUUUUUCAAAUAACAAGAUAGUAGUAAGUGCCUUUUUGACAUAAAACUUUAGAAAUCCACAACUAAAUAUAUAGUAGACCUUUUUCUGUGAUUUUUAACACAGAGGCCUAAUAUCACCUAUGUAUUUGGGCAAAAUACAAUUUGGUACAUAAACCUCAAGUAAAUCACAGUUAUAGUGUAAAGUGCCCUUUUAAGACCUAUCCUUGAGAAUUUUGCCCAAGUAGUAAUUAAAUCAGUAUCCACCUCAAAUUUAUAGAACAAACUACAAUGACAAAUAGUAACCCACUGUAAAAUUUUCAGAAUUUUUGGAAUAGGUUGAACCACUGUUGUAGUUCAACCCCACCCUAGAAAUUCAUAAAUAGAAAAUGAAAAAAAAGGAAAGUAAUAAUGGAGAGUAAUGUCAUUUUAACCCAACCAGCAAAUCCCUCAAUUGUCUACCAAAACAUCUAAGGACCUGUUUGUUUCCUUGGAAAUGAAACUCAUUCUAUGAAUAACAUUCUAGAUAUUAGAUUCCUAAAGAAAGUAAUUCCUUAGAAUUUGAUUCAAUUCAAUUUUUUUGUUUGGAUGCUAAUGGAAUUCUUUUCCAUGAAUCAAAUUCAAUAUCCUGUUUGGAUAGUUAUAUAUGGAAUUUACAUAUUUGGAGGGAAGUAACCACAUCAACUUGUACACGACAAAAUACACAUGUUUCUUGUGUGCACAUGAGUCUUGAUGAGUCAUAUACAUGUGCAAUAGAUUAGAGACAAGUUUUCACCCUACAAUUUAUCAAGCAGCAUGCAUCACGAGAAUAGUAAUAAUAAUACAGAUUUGUCUCAAAUGUCUACAUAUCAUUGGAACACAUUACUUGCUACUCAAUGUGAUGUUCAAUUCAUCCAACAUAAACUAAAACAGCAACAUCAACACACCCAACAACAGUUCAAUUAACCCAACCACAACUUGGUUCUCGUUUCCCCCAAAUUUGUUCUAACCAAUUCUAAGUUGUUGUGAGGCAUCUACAAUAGAUAAACCAUACAUCAUAAGCACACUUGAACAAACAUGUAUAUACAGUUUGUAAGAUUGAAUGCACAAUUGUUUGAAAGAAAUGUGGAGAAACUCAAGGCUCAAUAAUGUACUGGCAAAGAAAUGUGGAAUAUGACACAAUUGUUUGAAAGAAAUGUGGAGGGAGUGCCUCACAUGCUGCUCUAACAAUCACUUCGGUUGUGUUUCUCCAUUUCUUGUUUUCUGGGAUAGUUGUGGCCACACUUUGCUGGUAAGCCUGAUGUUAUACAGUUAUAAUGAACCUGAUUCAUGUCGUCUUGGUAUUGAAAAGACAAGAUCAAUAUAAUCUCUAUUACAACAUGAACUGUUGUGCAAACUAGAUCUGGAGUUCUAUCAUUCACUAUUACUGCCUUUCUUACUCUUAUUAUUAUCUUCAAAGUGUUACGUGAACAUGUGCAGUGCUAUUGAUAAAUUCAGCAGUAGGAAAAAUAAAUGCUUGGGCUGCAAACAAUAAUUAAGAAUGAAAUAAGCUCCGUAGAAGCUUGCUGUUGUGGGAUGCGAGUCACAUGUGUCUGCAGUUGUGGAGUGCUGUUGCGGUACUUUCUUAACUACAGCAGAAGUCCUACAGGGAAGAACAAGCCGCACGCAUGGGGAGUAAGGGAUCGGGGUGGUGGUGGCCGGGUGGUACCCUGCCGGCGGCCCGUUGACGCGCGUGCGGAAGAGACGACACACAGAUGCAAAGGGCACAUGAGCAGGGGACAGGAGGAACUGAUGCCCUGUCCCGCUGCCGCGGCUGAUCCCGGCACCACUCGCCGCCCCCCGGUGCCGCUCUUGAUUCGUUCACCAGUCAGGCGACGCCGCGCGCGUACGGCCGCAGGCUUUGGGUCGCUCGUGUCGCGUCGCGCAGCAUGGACACGGAUGGGACGAACGGUGAACAUGCUCGUACCUAUUUCUGGAUCGGAGAAGAAGGCCUCGACGAACAGCCGAUGCAGCUCUUCCGUCCACCGCAGGAAUCAUAGAUGCAGGAUGCAGCCGAUGCAGCUCGGGGACGAGAUAGUCCGAGGAGGAGGCGGUGCGGGCGUGUAGCGCAGCGCUAGACGACGGGUCGAGGAGAGGAAUUUGUUUCCUCGUUUUAGGGUAGGAAAGUUUUGCAGGCUUCUCAUUCCAGCCCAAGAAAUGGAUGGAAAGUUAGUUUCUAAUUCUAUAACUUGCCAAACAGGCCCGCCCAAGAAUUAAAUUCCAAUUCAACCCAAUUCCAAUAAAACAAACGGGCCAUAAGGGAAAAUCCAAGUUCAUUUCACUAUGCUUAUCCCUGGGCAAAACCCAAACCUAGAAUAGAUAAGCAUACACCACUAAGAGCCACGUAUGACCAAGAAACCCUAAGUUACUAACUAACUUAGUUUUUCUUUCACUUAGAAUAAUGUUCACUAAAUCCUGCAUAAUCAUGGCAUACAUAUUCUUAUUCAUUGCAUUCGAUAGAUUGCAACCUCGCUGACGGAGAGUACGUCCUCGUGCCGGAGCAAGGAGCUGCUCAGGAAGUAGCCCCGGAUCCAGCACCAGAGCCUGCACCAGCUUUGGAAGGCAAGCCCCGGUUUUAUGCAUAACCUAUUUAUUAUGCUAUUUUAUAACACUUACUGAUUGUAGGAUUGAAUGUGCACUUAAGUGUAGGAGUUGUUUGAAACCCUAGUUGCAUGAUCUCAGGAAUCCUUUUGUGAUGGAUACUAGUAUGCUAGGUCGAGUAGCUGCUUUACUAAUUUAGGGAUCUCGGUAGAAGUCGAAUGAUUUUUCUAGCACUCGCAUGAGGUCAGGAAUUGGUUGUAUCCAUUUUGAUAUCAUAAUGAUGGUGGUCUGUGGACAACGGUCCAUGGGGAUGCGUUGUCUACGAGACGGAAAUUGGAAUAAGGAUUAAGGUGUGGUACCGUGUGUCAAGCGUUUGAACGUACUAAACAUAUGCCGAGAAAUAUGGUAAAUCGGUGAGCCUAGUACCUGAUUGAACCUGGCAGCAGAUUGCCCUCCUCACGCGACCUGAGACGUAGUCUCCCAUUCCGGUUAUGGUGGGUACAAGUGCGGUGACUGCACGACGGCAGUCGGGGUCAGUGAGGCAUUGUACGCUAAGGCGGUGAGCCCCUCUCUGCUGACAGGGAAUCGAUGGGGACGGUUGACGUGUGUGGGGACGGAGUGCCUCGCCACGUCGUGUGUUUAGGUUUACCUUGCAAGGAUAAAAACUCGAUUUGAAUCGUCUGCUUCUCGCAGCUAAUGAGACUGCUUGAUCCAUGCUGCUACAUUGAGUAACAAGUGAAAAUGUGAUGAGGUAAAAAAAGGUGUUGAUUGCUAAAUAUGCUUGAUACCAUGAAUGAAUAGAUAGUACACAUUUAGUCUUAAGAGAGUCACACUAAAACUUGACAAAGCUAAAACUUGAUUUAUAAACUCAGCUAGUGCUUUUGGCAACCAAACCCCACAGCCAAACAGCUGCAUGUCUAGAGGUAGAGGAGUAGACUCCUCACACCGGGUAAGUCUAGCUGAGUAUUAGUAUACUCAGCCUUGCUUGUGGCAUAAUUUUACAGGUUCUUUAGAGGACAUGGUUGCUGGAGUGACUUGGCCGUCCAUCUUGCCACCGGGUUGGACAGUCGAGUGGGAUCAUGCCUCAAUUGAGGAGGAGCAUGAGUGAUGGGACAGGCUUCCCCAUCUCUCUGUUUAUUUACCGUUAGUUUUAUUCCGCUGCACUUCGAACAAUGAUGACUACUUUUGCAAAAACUCUGAUGAUGAUGUAAUAAAUUUAAUACUCCUUAAUGUAUGGUUUUAUGCUUUAUUGUAUUUGCUCUGUGACUCACCAUCGAGUGAGAUUGUGGUACUUGAUCCUGUCAGUGGCCUCGCCGGACUAGAUCCGAGGGAUUGACGGGUUAUUCCCAUUUAAGUGUGGUCUAGCCUCUAAGGCGGGACUUGGGCACUUAAGUUGGAAUAAUUCGGACAGUUCUGCCACAGGUUUGAACUACAAGCCAGUGUUAUAAAUUUCCAAAACUUCUGCAAAAAUUACAGUGGCUCCUCACUGGUGUAUAACUCUCUAUCUCAAAAAUUGGGGCUUAAAAAGUGAAGGGUUCCCUCUAUACAAAAUUAUAAAGUUUUUGGGCAGAGGGGGUGCUUUGAACUACAACUCUCCUUUAACAGUAGGUUAUUCUCUAAGGCUUAUUUGUGCUGGCAUUUAGGUGUAAUAACAUGACUUUGUACCAAAUUUCAGCCACUAACAUUCAUUAGUUAAUUUACUAUGAUUUUCUAAAGUUUUUGGCCAAUGGGGUGCUUUCUACUACCACUAUACUUGAAAAAUAUCAAACAAUAGAUUUCUAAAUUUUCAUAUCUUCUUCUUUGUGCAAGAGCAAUCAUUAUAGAAUUUGGCAACUUUUUGUUUAAGGGAAAGGGGGUAGAAUUUCUUGAUUUAUGUGACCUUUUUCAUGGGGUAGAGGUAAUGGGUGUUACCUCAUAUUUUUUAAUAGGUUUUGUAUUUUCCUAUGGGGUUCUAUUUUACUAAUAGUUGGAUAAAAAUUAAUUUGCCUACUGUUGUACAAUUUUAGACUUUCUUAUGAUUUAAUUAGAAUAUGGGCCAAAGCCAUAUUUGAAUUGUUUUGCCCACUUAUUGUGAGAGAUUGGGGUGUUGAUUAUUUUUGCAGUGGUAUUCUAUUAGUUAGGAGUCCCUGAAUUUUUCUUACCAAUUUUGAAAUGAUUCAUAUAUUUUUAAUUAUGGUUUUCCUUGGUUCCUUGCUGCCUAAUAAUUUAUUUAACUUUGGAUUAGUCUUGGACUAGGGUUCUCUAUAUUUUUCCUAGGUUCCUCAUUACCUAAGUGAACUAGGAAAAAUAUUCUCAUCCUCUGUUCACUAAUUUUUAUUUCCUUUCUUAAUUUCCUAAGUUUUGGGCAGAUGUAGUGUUUAAUAGAUAAUCCUGAGUUAAUCUUGUAUACUGGGGUGCUUAGUAUUUUUAAACAGUGCAUAAGUUGGGUUUGCAUUUCUACAAAUUUUCUUAAGUCUAGCACAGAAACAUAACUAUUUUUCCUUAUUUUAAUAAGGUUUGAGCAGUUUCCUUAUUUAAUUCCAAACUCUAAAAAUCAAUACAGAAACCAUAGGGUUCAACAUUUUUAUUUGAUAGUUUAUAAUAUUCUGAAUCCAGCAAAAUUGGUUCGACUAAAUUUGGUUAAAUAUUCCUCGAGUUAUGAAUUUCCUAAGUUUUCUGUUCAUUAAAAAGAAUAUUCAGAAAUGAUUAAAUGGAAAACUAACUUGCAUCGUGGUCCCUAGGCUUGUUUCUAACUAAGUCAUUUAAACCGUGCCCUUGAAGCACUAUUCACGGGAGUCUCUAACUACGCAGAAAACCCCCUAGAAUGACUCUAAAUUAAACCUGCGGUCCUUCUCUUAAUGAAACAGUAACCGCGGCGGAGGAAAAGGGCGGAGGGGCUUACCGGCGGAGGGAUUGCUCUGGUGAAGUGGUUGAGUGUGUAGGGGAGGUCUUGACGGUCACGCCGAUGUGCGGAUCGUCUCCAGGGAUGGUCGGAGUAGGCCGGUUCACGUGCGCAGGCGGGCGAGCUCGUCGACGACGAGGACUCCGGCCUAUCCAGGGCGGUAGAGUUCAAUCAAACUGGUCAGUGAGCUUCACUAGGUGCUAGGGAAGACGUAGGCACGAGUAAUUGAACUAUGGCUUACCAGUUAGUCGUGGCCACGCGCGCCGGCGGGGAGAACAACUCCGGCGGGGUGGAACAGCUUUUUCGGUGAAGUAGUGCCCGGUUUCUUGCUUCGGGGAGCUCUACAGGGCUCUAGGGAAGCUAACUAAGGCACGAGAUUGAGUGGGGAUUGCCGGGAGUGGUCUGGCCACGGCGACCGAGCGCUCGGGCUGCAUGGCGGGUGGCGUAGAGCUCGCCGGAGCUAAGUGCUGGGCUUGAGAAGUCAAGUGAGUCGCAGAGGGAGUACGACAGAGGCUUCCCUGCUCUUAUAGACGCGGCGCGGUGCACGGGCGGGCAUGGACCAGCGCGGGCGCUCGGGCGUGCACAGCUGGACGCGGGCGCGCGAACUGGCGUGAACCGAGCGUGUCAGCCGCGAUCGAACACGUGGUGCCAUUGUUUCUGUCCGAGUUCUAACGCCAAUAGGGCACAGAUCUUUGCGAAUUUGGGCAAGAUUGUUGUGUAAGAUUUGUUCUCCCGACUACGCUCUGCCGUUUGCGCGUGGAGCCGAGCGAUUUCAGGGCAAGGGCAGAGAGUUGUCGCCUCGUCAAUGUGGCAGUGUCACAAGGUCGAGUUCCAAGGCAAAUCCCUGCCAAGAUCAUGUCAAACGGCCGAGUCUUGCUCCCAAAUUUUUCCAGGGUGUGUUCAAGGUAGUUUGGCUCUAACUUUAUAUUUGGACUUAUUUGAUUCAAGUUUUGAAAAACAGAGAACACAGAAGAUCUUUGGUAAGGGGCUAAAAUUUAGAUUUCUGAAUUUCUGAAUUUUCCCAUAGCGCAUUAGUUCAUGGGCUGAUUUGGGGAUUUUGGAGAAUUCAAAUGACCAAUCUUCCUUACUACAUCUUGUAGGUUAUUUAGUGCACCAAAACUUUGUUAAUUGGUUCAUAUCAAAAUUUUGCAUGUUUCCCAAGUCUUUUCUCAAAUUCUCUCUAUGUGCUUAAAUGGCCCAUUUGGAAGGUGUUAGGGUUUUAGAUGUUUUUCUCUCCUGAGGUGUAUGAUAUGUUUAGAGUGUGGUUUAUGAGAUGAAAGAGACUUAAUUUAGGUUUUAGUUCCUUAUAUGAUGUCUCUUGCUUAAUUAAAAGCACAUAUGAUAAUGGUCACAAGUUGGGGCACUGGGGCAAACCCUAUGUAACGCUGGGGUGUUACAGGUCAGAAGUGUGAAGAUGCUUUCCACACCUUGAGGCAGCAUCUGAUCACAACCCCCAUGUUAGCGCAGCCUGACAACAACAAGCCAUUUGAUGUGUAUUGUGAUGCCUUUGGCACUGGACUAGGUUGUGUUUUAAUGCAAGACAACUGAGUCAUUGCCUACGCGUCAAGAGCACUCAGGCCUCAUGAGCAAAAUUACCCCACUCAUGAUUUAAAGUUGGUAGUCGAGGUUCAUGCAUUAAAAAUGUGGAGGCACUACUUGAUGGGAACCGACUGCAACAUCUAUACAGAUCACAAGAGCCUCAAGUACAUCUUUACUCAGGAUGAUCUCAACAUGAGACAGAGAAGAUGGCUAGAAUUGAUCAAGGACUACGACUUGGAAGUACACUACCACCCGAGGAAAGCUAAUGUGGUAGCUGAUGCUUUGAGUCGGAAGUCACAAUGCAAUUGUAUGAUGAUGGAUUCUCGCAUCAAUACCCUGUGUGAUGAGUUGAGCAAGAUGAAGAUCGAAGUAAUUCCUUCUGGUACCUUGUCUCACAUGUCCAUUGAGCCAACUUUGUAAGACCAAAUAAUUAUGGCCCAACUCAGUGACAAGGGAAUGCAAAUCAUUAAGGAGAAUCUUCAUCAGAAAGCGGAGAAGUAUAAGUGUUUUCGCCAAGAUAGCAAGGGUAUACUAUGGUUUGAAGACCGAUUGGUGGUUCCUAAAAAUAGAGACCUCAACAAGAAAAUCAUGGAUGAGGCUCAUCUCUCUAAAUUCUCCAUGCACCCGGGAAGCACCAAGAUGUACCAUGAUCUGAAGCCCCUAUAUUGGUGGACCAGAAUGAAGAGGGAAAUAGCCCAAUAUGUAUCAGAAUGUGACACGUGUCAGAGGAUAAAGGCAAGACACUUAAAAUCAGCUGGUGCCUUGCAACCCCUAUCGAUACCUUCAUGGAAAUGGGAUGACAUCAGCAUGGAUUUCAUUGUGGGUCUGCCCAACACCUCUCGGCAUCAUGAUUCAAUUUGGGUCAUUGUGGACCGAUUGACAAAAGUGGCACAUUUUCUUCCAGUGCACACCACCGAUAAGGCUCAGAAGUAUGCAGAAUUGUAUAUUGACCGAAUCGUGUGUUUGCACGGGUUACCCUAGACAAUUGUCUCUGACCGAGGAGCCCAAUUCUUUGCCAGAUUUUGGGAGCAAUUGCAAGAGUCUUUGGGAACCAAGCUAAUAAGAAGUUUAGCUUACCACCCCCUGACUGAUGGUCAGACCGAAAGGGUAAAUCAAAUUCUUGAAGAUAUGCUAAGGGCUUGUGCGAUCAUUUACAGCAAGAACUGGGAUAAGUACCUCUCUCUGGCAGAGUUUGCUCAUAACAACAGUUAUCAAUCCAGCCUAAAUAUGGCACCCUUUGAAGCCCUAUGUGGAAGAAGGUGUCGAACACCCCUCAACUGGUCUCAGCCUGAAGAAAGAGAAAUCUUUGGACCUGACCUAGUGACAGAAGCCGAAAGGAAAGUCAAAUUGAUCAGAAAGAAUCUAGAAGCUGCUCAGGCCAGGCAGAAGAGCUACCAUGACAAGAGGAGGAAACCCCUCCAGUUUGAAGUGGGAGAUUUCGUGUAUCUAAAAGUAUCACCCACGAAAGGAGAGCAAAGGUUUGGGAUCAAAGGCAAGUUAGCCCCUCGCUACAUUGGACCUUAUGAGAUCAUAGAAGCAUGUGGACCCGUGGCAUACAAAUUGAAGCUACCUUCGAAAAUGUCUGCCAUCCACAAUGUGUUCCAUGUAUCCCAAUUGAAGAAGUGUGUCCGUUUGCCAACCGAGGUCAUAGCAGAACUAGAAGUGGAGAUAGAGCUAGAUCUACCAUAUCAAGAGUAUCCUUCCAAGGUUCUGGAUUGCAAGGAAAGAUCAACUCGUGCGAAGUCGAUCAAAAUGUAUAAGAUCCAAUGGAGCAACCAUUCAAAGACGAGGUUUCCAAAGAACCUUAAUAAACAAACCCACACCACGAGAUCAAGUCAUAAACUUCUCUUCACCCCUGGAGGAUUCCGACCCGAAUCUCGGGACGAGAUUCGUUUAAGGGGGGAGGCUAUAACACCCCAAUGUUACCUAGGGUUCUUCUUAGUACUAACCUCAAGACCAUUAUCACAUGUGAAUCCAAUUGAGCAAAAGACACCAAAAUUUAGGAGCAAAGAGUUAGUUAAGUCUUUUUCAGCUCAAGAAUCAUGAUUCUAAGCACAUCAUGCACCUCAAGUGAGAAAAGCAUCCAAAACCCUAACACCAUUCAAAUUGGCCAUUUAAGCACAAAAAGGGAAUUAGAGAAAACACUUGGGAAAAAUACAAAAUAUUAAUAUGGACCAAUUAACAAAGUUAUAGUGCAUUAAAUAAACUACAAAAUGUGGUAAGAAAGAUUGAUCAUUUGGAUUUUUCAAAAUUCCCAAAACAGCCCAUGAAGUAAAGCCUCUAGGGAAAAUUCAGAUAAUUCAGAACCUGAAUUUCAACCUCUUCCCAAAGAUCAGUUGUGUUCUCUAUUUUUCAAAACUCAAAUCCACAAAGUCCAAAUAUCAAAGUGGCGCCAAAAUACCCUAGGCACACUCUGGUGAAGUUUGAAAUCAAACCAAAAUCGUUUGACACGAUUUGGCAUUGGUUUUGUUUCGGGCUGAACAAUGCAGACAGAGCUGACUUCACACCACCAUAUCUUCCCACCCAGACCAUAUCUCCACUCGGGACUCACACAAGACAGAGAGCCCUUGACAUGGUGAAGAGACGAUACACAGGAUCGUUGGCAAGGUAUGCACAUUUAGGUCGACCAACAGGCGUUUGAACAAGGGUAGAAACAAACCUCCACGUGUUCGAUCGCAUGCUCAAGCGCUCGGCCGCGCACUGUCCACUCUCAGUGCACGCGCCGCGCACGGUCGGCUCCUGUCCCCCGCGCCUACGCCCAGCCAUGCCCGAGGGCGCCUAUAAGUGCCCCUGGUGCGCAGCAGUCCACCCCUCACUCCGCCUCACUCCUCGAGCAGAAACUCCAACUCCGGCGAGCUCUGCGCAGCCCGCCAUCACUGCCCGAGCACGGCUGUAGUGGCCAGCUGUCACACCCGGUUUUAAAGGACAAAGUCGGGUGCAUUUCAUACAUGCACCAAAGAAGACAACAUAUAUAAUAACAGAGUGUAUAGAGAUAAAUGUCAUAAUAUAAUCAGAGUACUUAUUACAUAGCGGAAGACUUACAAAAUAAAAUAUAAAUAUAGAUCAAACUAAAAUCCAUCCUUGGCGCCAUAAAGUCAAUUAGGAGACGCCACCUAGAUCGAAUCGAACUUCUCAUUGUGGCUCCUCUUGAACCACAUGUUCUUCUCCUAUGGGGGUGUGAGACAGCAAGGGUGAGCUCACAAAUGUUCAUCGCUCAACAAGUUGUGGGGAAUAAUGUGUAUGAAGUCACCAAAGGUGGGAGUUCAUGUGAUGUGUAAAGUUGAUCAACAAUAGGGGUUAAAGAUGAGCAUUGCUUUUAAUACGUUGGUCAAAUUUUAUUAGCAAUUACUAGAUGUAUGUAAAUAUCAAUCCAUAAUAAAUAAUAGAACAAAAUUAAUGAAUAUACCCAUGCAAUGCAAAUGAUAAAUUGAAUUUAAGUUCCAUAAAUUAAUCAUGCGAGAGUCCUGAGCUGCUCUUGACCGUGAGCUCAGCUAGUAUACCAGUUUUACACUCUGCAGAGGUUGUACCCUGUAACCACAAGUCGUGUAUCCCAUGUCACCAGGGUUAGCUAGACCCUUAGACACUACCAAGGUGAAUGGCUAGGGAUCCACUACGAGGCCUUUACAAAGUUCCACUAGCUUCUGAAAACCCGCUACAGUUUAUGGGAAGAGCACUUGCAAGAAUCCCUCGUCUGACCGCCAUCGCAACAAAAUCAACCUGAGAACCUCCCUGCAUGCAACUCCCCUACUACCCUUGCCCCUUUCGGGUAAGGUAGUCUUCCACUAGCUUUCCUAAUUAGUCAGCCAAGGGCAUCCCAUUCCACCCUUGUGGUGGCACGUAUUUCUCAAGUUAAGCUCCAUGUUCCAAUUAAAGAUAAUGAUGAUCUUGACAUGAACAUAAAUAACAUAACAGAAUAAUUGGAACAUGGAUAUAAUGAAAUAUUAACCCAAAACUAUAUAAAAGCAAUAGCAAAACUACUCAAGUGAUUCAGGGGUAAACAAGGUAAAAGAAUAUCAGACUAGGGUGACCUAUUGGGUCCCAUCAAAAUUAAACCUAUGCGGGCUCGAGAAUCACUAAAAUCGGAGUUACGGUUAAGUCGUUAUGAUUUUAUAGAGGAUUUAUGUGAUUAAAAUAUUAAACUUUAUUAUAAAUUGGUUAAUAUAUAUCAUAUAUGAGGUUAUUCUAUAAAUAAUUAUCCCUACUUUAAUCUAAGUUAUAAAUUGACCAUAGAUCAUAUUCUAGUAGUUUAUAAUGAUAAGCAGAUUAACAAGACUAACCAACAUAGGUUAAAUAAAAGUCUAGUUAUAAAAGAAUGAAACAUGGUACAAUAAAUGUUAUUAUUGCAUAGUAAAUAUUUAUACGAGACUAACGCAACUGGAACGAGUCAAUUCGGAAUUAAAACGAAGGAGUUAUGAUUUUCUGAAGAUUCUAUGUGUUUUGUACAAGAUUAAAUAGGACAUAAAUUUUUAAUGUGACUAUCAUGUCAAAUCAGUGGCACUAAUUGAUAAACAAUAAUCUUACAAAAUUAUAGGAACUGAAAUAGACUCAUUUGGAUUUAAUAUGAAUUUUCUAUAGAUUUAACAAGAUUUUGGAAUCGUUUUUAUAGAAGAAAUUCAUUUUAUAAAUCAAUUUCUCUGAUUUUCCAUUUCCCUAGACCGCGCCUCAAAUAUCAGAGAAUACAGGGUCUAGGAUGCAAAACAUCUAAGACUCAGUGAAUAGAAUCCCUGGACUGCGGGUUGGUUCCCGUUUUGCGCGGGGCCUCUUUAGCAAAUGUGCUAGCCGAAGGGGUAUGGAGAAUCCCCAUCCGUCCGAUCCCUAAUAGACGCGUUAGAUUAUCUUCAAUUAAAUCCGAACCGUUAUUCUAUACGCGCCCUUAGAUCUGGAUAUUACGGUUCACGGCCGAUCCGCGGGUUGGAUCGCACGACCGGAUCCAACCGUUUGUUCCCAACGGACGGUCCCGAUUCAAAGAAAUCCGCUCGCCGGCCAACUCUAAUCCCGAUCGUCCAAACAGGAUCCAACGAUCCAGGCCUCGUCACCUACCUUCCGCUGAGAACACGCCUAGUGAGCCCUGGCCGCGACGCCCUCGACGGCAGUCAAGGAUCCGCCUCCCUGGCGAGCAGGCGACCAACAGAGAAGGCUAUGGAUUGGAGCGGGGAUAAUUCUUACGCAUCACACAAACAAUGGCGAACUGCAGAGAUGCCCUCACCGCGAUUGGAGGCGACCGCGCGACAUCGUUUCUUCGAGGCGAGGUGCCGGUGCUCUAGCUUGAUGUCGCUGAGAACGCCGCCCGCCACGCGUGUUAUGAACCCAGACGCACUCCACCCUGGUGCACCAAGAUCGCACACUCGUACCUCCUCGACAAUGGUCCACCCUAAUGUUUCCACCGACUGCUUCCUGGCCAAUCCCGAUCUGUGGUCGACGCUAGCAGAGCGUAAUGGGAGGCGAAGGAAGGAGCUAGGUCAGACGGCUACUUAUUGGUGGAGAGUUUUUUUCC